rnacentral:rRNA from 1 species
GAGUUUGAUCCUGGCUCAGGAUGAACGCUGGCGGCGUGCCUAACACAUGCAAGUCGAACGGAGUUUAUGAGGAAGAAGCUUAGGCAGAAUUCUUAUAAACUUAGUGGCGGACGGGUGAGUAACACGUGGAGAACCUGCCUCUUACCGGGGGACAGCAGUUGGAAACGACUGAUAAUACCGCAUAAGCGCACGAGACCGCAUGGUCCUGUGUGAAAAGAUUUAUCGGUAAGAGAUGGCUCCGCGUCUGAUUAGCCAGUUGGCGGGGUAACGGCCCACCAAAGCGACGAUCAGUAGCCGGCCUGAGAGGGUGAACGGCCACAUUGGGACUGAGACACGGCCCAGACUCCUACGGGAGGCAGCAGUGGGGGAUAUUGCACAAUGGAGGAAACUCUGAUGCAGCGACGCCGCGUGAGUGAAGAAGUAUUUCGGUAUGUAAAGCUCUAUCAGCAGGGAAGAAAGACCUCGAGAGGGGGAUGACGGUACCUGAGUAAGAAGCCCGGCUAACUACGUGCCAG